GGAGAGGUGUCCGAGAGGUCGAAGGUGCUUGACUCGAAAUCAAGUGUGCCUUAACCGGCACCGUGGGUUCGAAUCCCACCCUCUCCGCCA
rnacentral:tRNA from 1 species